CAGCGGCUGUCCCCGCCCUGAAAACCGAGUUUGGUGUCGAGCCACUCUGGAACAUAUGGAGGCGCCGGAGGACCAGUGGAAGGUGUCAUCCAGAUGACAGCCUCACAAUUCGCAGCCUUUGGGCUCUCCAUCAGAAACCCAUCAGGGGCAAGCCACUUAUGUUUGCCUUCAGACAAGACAACAUUGAAGCAGGAUUCCAGCACAGCCAUCUCCUGCACUUAUGGUCAAGAUGCUCAGACAAUGGGGUCCCUGUUCCUUGUGGUUAACCGUGAACAGUAUUCUCGCUUUUAUGAAAGCUUAAGGUGAUUUCCUGUAUAAAUUUUGUACUCAAUAGAAUUUGUACUAUAAUUUUGUACUAUAGAAUUUUGCAGCUCAAAUGUAUACACUUUAUUCUAAUUUGAAUCAACUAAUAUAUGCUGUUUAAUACUUUUAUACUGUUUGAUACAAUCAUUUCUUGUUGGAAAAUAUUAAGCAUGAUGUUUAACAUUUAUUUAUGCAUUACUGGCUGAUGCAUGAUGGUCUGUGUUUAAAAAAUGUGAACUCACACAUUUGAAGCUUCAUUCAUUAACUAUAGUAUGGCUGAUUUAAUAAACAUUAUUUGCUCAUUUAUGUACAAGCCCUAAUCUUCCAUUAUCGCACCAAGUACAAAUAAUUUAGAAAUUGGCAAUCUAUCAUCCGCAUGUGGCCAGUAGAGUACCUUAAUGAACAGUGGUUUGUUUUUAUAAGGCCGCCAUUGAUACGGCACUUCGCACCUAAACAGUAAUACAUCUGGCAUAUUUAGGCUGUCUUGCAGUAGGAAAAAAAAACAUUUUCAAGCAACAUAUUUUAUAACAGACCAUGCAUUGCCUUCGCAUUACAAAAUUUAAGGAAACCAGAAUUGUAAUUGGAAAAUCUGCUACACAGCAUUUUAGCUCAGAGAACUCUAUUUACAUUUGAAAAAAAAAUGAUUCAGGUGGGAAAAUUUCUUGCUCAAGGAAUCUUGUUGAGGAGCGAAAAUUCAUCUUGAUGCUCCUGGAUCAAACCUUAUUUAAAGCAAGUUGAUGUGUGAAACAUACGGCGUUUCAGUAUAUCAAAAAUGUGCGCCAGUCAAGCUUUAUAUCGACUUUCCAAAUCAGCUUUUCACAAUGAUUUGCCAUGACAUUGGUGUACAAAAUAACAGGGUGUGUUUCUUGUGUGCUUGCUGUGCAUUUCAUGUACUUCCCUAAUUGACCUUUGCAAUAUAUAUAUUUUUUUCAAGGCCACCAAAACUAGAAUUUUUGUACCUGAAAUUUAAUAUUGAAAAUUUAUUCCUUUAAGUGGCACCAAACAGGCUGUUUUAGGGUUACCAUAUAUACAGGUUGUUUCAGUUAACUUAAGCUAAACAUUAAAUAAAUGCAAAUGCUACGUAGCUGGACAGAACGAAGGUAAUGUUGUUCGCCGUCGCUUGGAGAUACUCAGACUAUUUUUUGUACUCGGCCUAAUUCGAUAAUUAGACUUAAUUAUUUAUUCAACUUCUCAAUUAUUAUAAUUAGAUUAAAAGUGUCAAUGAGUAAAUUGUAGAGCAACAUGAGAAACUCCCAAUACAGCUUUCUGUUGCUCAAUACGUGCAACAUAAAAUGGUUUUUCCGAGCGUGAAAGAAGCCCGUGAAUAUACGCAAAAUUCUCGUCCGACUGGCCGCUCGAGGCACUUUAUGUGUAUUCGCAGGCAUCUUUCACGCUCGGAAAAACACUUGUGUUGCACGUAUUGAGCAACAGAAAGCUGUAUCGGGAGUUUCUCAUGUUGCUCUAUACAAUCUUCUAAUUGACACUUGUCAUCUAAUUAUAAUAGUUGAGAAGUUGAAUAAAUAAUUAAGUCUAAUUAGGCGGAGUACAAAAAAUAGUCUGAGUAUCCCCAAGCGACGGCAAACAAUAUUACUUUGGUUCUGUCCACCUACGGAGCAUUUGCAUCUUUUUAAAGUUUGUCCCAAGUUGACUGAAACACCCUGUAUAUAGGACAGAUUUGAUCAGUUAUAUUUAAAAAAAACAUUUUUGUAGGAAAUGUAAAUUUUCAUGUACUUACAAAUGUAUUUGGUGAUUGCAAUUUUAGGUUGUUAUGUAUGUAUUAUGUAGUUAUGUAUU